rnacentral:rRNA from 1 species
GGCACACCCGGAGAACUGAAACAUCUUAGUACCCGGAGGAAGAGAAAGAAAAUUCGAUUCCCUUAGUAGCGGCGAGCGAAACGGGAAGAGCCCAAACCAACAAGCUUGCUUGUUGGGGUUGUAGGACACUCUGUACGGAGUUACAAAGGACGACAUUAGACGAAUCAUCUGGAAAGAUGAAUCAAAGAAGGUAAUAAUCCUGUAGUCGAAAAUGUUGUCUCUCUUGAGUGGAUCCUGAGUACGACGGAGCACGUGAAAUUCCGUCGGAAUCUGGGAGGACCAUCUCCUAAGGCUAAAUACUCUCUAGUGACCGAUAGUGAACCAGUACCGUGAGGGAAAGGUGAAAAGCACCCCGGAAGGGGAGUGAAAUAGAACCUGAAACCGUGUGCUUACAAGUAGUCAGAGCCCGUUAAUGGGUGAUGGCGUGCCUUUUGUAGAAUGAACCGGCGAGUUACGAUUUGAUGCAAGGUUAAGCAGUAAAUGUGGAGCCGUAGCGAAAGCGAGUCUGAAUAGGGCGUUUAGUAUUUGGUCGUAGACCCGAAACCAGGUGAUCUACCCUUGGUCAGGUUGAAGUUCAGGUAACACUGAAUGGAGGACCGAACCGACUUACGUUGAAAAGUGAGCGGAUGAACUGAGGGUAGCGGAGAAAUUCCAAUCGAACCUGGAGAUAGCUGGUUCUCUCCGAAAUAGCUUUAGGGCUAGCCUCAAGUGAUGAUUAUUGGAGGUAGAGCACUGUUUGGACGAGGGGCCCCUCUCGGGUUACCGAAUUCAGACAAACUCCGAAUGCCAAUUAAUUUAACUUGGGAGUCAGAACAUGGGUGAUAAGGUCCGUGUUCGAAAGGGAAACAGCCCAGACCACCAGCUAAGGUCCCAAAAUAUAUGUUAAGUGGAAAAGGAUGUGGCGUUGCCCAGACAACUAGGAUGUUGGCUUAGAAGCAGCCAUCAUUUAAAGAGUGCGUAAUAGCUCACUAGUCGAGUGACACUGCGCCGAAAAUGUACCGGGGCUAAACAUAUUACCGAAGCUGUGGAUUGUCCUUUGGACAAUGGUAGGAGAGCGUUCUAAGGGCGUUGAAGCAUGAUCGUAAGGACAUGUGGAGCGCUUAGAAGUGAGAAUGCCGGUGUGAGUAGCGAAAGACGGGUGAGAAUCCCGUCCACCGAUUGACUAAGGUUUCCAGAGGAAGGCUCGUCCGCUCUGGGUUAGUCGGGUCCUAAGCUGAGGCCGACAGGCGUAGGCGAUGGAUAACAGGUUGAUAUUCCUGUACCACCUAUAAUCGUUUUAAUCGAUGGGGGGACGCAGUAGGAUAGGCGAAGCGUGCGAUUGGAUUGCACGUCUAAGCAGUAAGGCUGAGUAUUAGGCAAAUCCGGUACUCGUUAAGGCUGAGCUGUGAUGGGGAGAAGACAUUGUGUCUUCGAGUCGUUGAUUUCACACUGCCGAGAAAAGCCUCUAGAUAGAAAAUAGGUGCCCGUACCGCAAACCGACACAGGUAGUCAAGAUGAGAAUUCUAAGGUGAGCGAGCGAACUCUCGUUAAGGAACUCGGCAAAAUGACCCCGUAACUUCGGGAGAAGGGGUGCUCUUUAGGGUUAACGCCCAGAAGAGCCGCAGUGAAUAGGCCCAAGCGACUGUUUAUCAAAAACACAGGUCUCUGCUAAACCGUAAGGUGAUGUAUAGGGGCUGACGCCUGCCCGGUGCUGGAAGGUUAAGAGGAGUGGUUAGCUUCUGCGAAGCUACGAAUCGAAGCCCCAGUAAACGGCGGCCGUAACUAUAACGGUCCUAAGGUAGCGAAAUUCCUUGUCGGGUAAGUUCCGACCCGCACGAAAGGCGUAACGAUUUGGGCACUGUCUCAACGAGAGACUCGGUGAAAUCAUAGUACCUGUGAAGAUGCAGGUUACCCGCGACAGGACGGAAAGACCCCGUGGAGCUUUACUGUAGCCUGAUAUUGAAAUUCGGCACAGCUUGUACAGGAUAGGUAGGAGCCUUUGAAACGUGAGCGCUAGCUUACGUGGAGGCGCUGGUGGGAUACUACCCUAGCUGUGUUGGCUUUCUAACCCGCACCACUUAUCGUGGUGGGAGACAGUGUCAGGCGGGCAGUUUGACUGGGGCGGUCGCCUCCUAAAAGGUAACGGAGGCGCUCAAAGGUUCCCUCAGAAUGGUUGGAAAUCAUUCAUAGAGUGUAAAGGCAUAAGGGAGCUUGACUGCGAGACCUACAAGUCGAGCAGGGUCGAAAGACGGACUUAGUGAUCCGGUGGUUCCGCAUGGAAGGGCCAUCGCUCAACGGAUAAAAGCUACCCCGGGGAUAACAGGCUUAUCUCCCCCAAGAGUUCACAUCGACGGGGAGGUUUGGCACCUCGAUGUCGGCUCAUCGCAUCCUGGGGCUGUAGUCGGUCCCAAGGGUUGGGCUGUUCGCCCAUUAAAGCGGUACGCGAGCUGGGUUCAGAACGUCGUGAGACAGUUCGGUCCCUAUCCGUCGUGGGCGUAGGAAAUUUGAGAGGAGCUGUCCUUAGUACGAGAGGACCGGGAUGGACAUACCUCUGGUGUACCAGUUGUCGUGCCAACGGCAUAGCUGGGUAGCUAUGUGUGGACGGGAUAAGUGCUGAAAGCAUCUAAGCAUGAAGCCCCCCUCAAGAUGAGAUUUCCCAACUUCGGUUAUAAGAUCCCUCAAAGAUGAUGAGGUUAAUAGGUUCGAGGUGGAAGCAUGGUGACAUGUGGAGCUGACGAAUACUAAUCGAUCGAAGACUUAAUCAA